rnacentral:rRNA from 1 species
GACGAACGCUGGCGGCGUGCUUAACACAUGCAAGUCGAGCGGUAAGGCCCUUUCGGGGGGUACACGAGCGGCGAACGGGUGAGUAACACGUGGGUGACCUGCCCUCAGCUCUGGGAUAAGCCUGGGAAACCGGGUCUAAUACUGGAUAUGACUCCAUGACGCAUGUUGUGGGGUGGAAAGCCUUGUGCGGCUGAGGAUGGGCCCGCGGCCUAUCAGCUUGUUGGUGGGGGUGANGGCCUACCAAGGCGACGACGGGUAGCCGGCCUGAGAGGGCGACCGGCCACACUGGGACUGAGACACGGCCCAGACUCCUACGGGAGGCAGCAGUGGGGAAUCUUGCGCAA